GGAAAAAGUCUCUUAGGUGGUUUGCCUAGCCCUGUGGAGCAUCCCUGCAGGGGGACUCCUGCUCGCUGUGGCGAUGCAUCCUGAGAGCGCUCCUGGGCAGGUAUCUGCCUGUUAGAAAAUCCUCACCAGAGCAGAGCAGGGAGGCCCUGCAGUGUGGAUCCACCCAGUGGCUGAACACCGAGGAGGAACGAGUAUUUGGGGAAGUCUGGACCACUGAAUUUGGUUUGGACUGCCACUGCGCAUCGGAUCAGACAAUGGGCCAGCAUUUGUGCCAGAUUUAGUCCGGAAAACAGCAAUGGCCUUGGGUAUCACCUGGAAACUACACACUGCCUACCGACCUCAGAUUUCCGGAAAAGAGGGAAAAAUGAACUGGACCAUCAAAAAAAGCUUAGGGAAAGUGUGUCAGGAAACAAGAUUAGCGUGGGUGCAGGCACUUCCCUUGGGGUUAUUCAAAAUUAGAUGCACCCCCUCUAGGA